rnacentral:rRNA from 1 species
UACGGGGGGGGCAAGCGUUGUUCGGAAUUACUGGGCGUAAAGGGUCUGUAGGUGGUCUGCUAAGUCAGACGUGAAAUCCCUCAGCUUAACUGGGGAACUGCGUCUGAUACUGGCGGACUUGAGGGCAGGAGAGGAACGCGGAAUUCCAGGUGUAGAGGUGAAAUUCGUAGAUAUCAGGAGGAACACCAGUGGCGAAGGCGGCUUUCUGGACGGUAACUGACGCUGAGACGCGAAAGCGUGGGGAGCAAACAGG